GCAUAACGCGAAGAACCUUACCAAGGCUUGACAUGCAUCUCUAAGCGCGUGAAAGCGCGUGACUCUUCGGAGGAUUUGCACAGGUGCUGCAUGGCCGUCGUCAGCUCGUGUCGUGAGAUGUUGGGUUAAGUCCCGCAACGAGCGCAACCCCUGUGAUUAGUUGCCAGCACGUGAUGGUGGGGACGUCUAAUCAGACUGCCCAGAUCAACUGGGAGGAAGGUGGGGACGGACGUCAGGUCAGUAUGGCCCUUACGCCUUGGGCUGCACACGUACUACAAUGCCCAGCACAAUGAGAACCGAGACCGCGAGGUGGAGGAAAUCUACAAAACUGGGCCCAGUUCGGAUUGGAGGCUGCAACUCGCCUCCAUGAAGCCGGAAUCGCUAGUAAUGCUGCAUCAGCUACGGCAGCGUGAAUUACGUUCCCGGGUCUUGUACACACCGGAGGUCGGUGGGGGAGGGCGAAGGGCACGACGAGGGGGGA
rnacentral:rRNA from 1 species